rnacentral:rRNA from 1 species
AUUGAACACUGGCGGCAGGCCUAACACAUGCAAGUCGAGCGAGCGGCGGACGGGUGAGUAAUGUAUGGGGACUGCCCGAUCUAGGGGGAUAACUACUGGAAACGGUGUCUAAUACCGCAUACUUUCGGAGCACCCAUAUGGUAUUAGCUAGUAGGUGGGGUAAAGGCUCACCUAGGCGACGAUCUCUGGCUGGUCUGAGAGGAUGAUCAGCAAGACUGGGACUGAGACACGGCCCAGACUCCUACGGAGGCAGCAGGGGGGAAUAUUGCACAAUGGGAGCAAGUCUGAUGCAGCCAUGCCGCGUGUAUGAAGAAGGCCUUAGGGUUGUAAAGUACUUUCAGCGGGGAGGCGUUACCCGCAGAAGAAGCACCGGCUAACUCCGUGCCAGCAGCCGCGGUAAUUC